rnacentral:rRNA from 1 species
AACGAACGCUGGCGGCAGGCCUAACACAUGCAAGUCGAACGAGAAGCCACCUUCGGGUGGUGGACAGUGGCAGACGGGUGAGUAACGCGUGGGAACGUGCCUUUCGGUUCGGAAUAACCCAGGGAAACUUGGGCUAAUACCGGAUACGCCCUUCGGGGGAAAGAUUCAUUGCCGAAAGAUCGGCCCGCGUCGGAUUAGCUAGUUGGUGGGGUAAUGGCUCACCAAGGCGACGAUCCGUAGCUGGUUUGAGAGGAUGACCAGCCACACUGGGACUGAGACACGGCCCAGACUCCUACGGGAGGCAACAGUGGGGAAUAUUGGACAAUGGGCGAAAGCCUGAUCCAGCCAUGCCGCGUGGGUGAAGAAGGCCUUAGGGUUGUAAACCCCUUUCAGCGGGGAAGAUAGUGACGGUACCCGCAGAAGAAGUCCCGGCUAACUCCGUGCCAGCCGCCGCAGUAA